ensembl:lncRNA
GGACUAAAUAGGAAAUUGUGUGCCAUAUAACAUAGCACAUAUUCUUGCUGUCUGUUGUCACAUUCUCUUCCUCGGGGCAAAUCAGCUCCUGAUUCAUUCGUGUUAGGAGCAGAGGGCGACCCUGUAUGUCGGAUAGAAAAGCGUAUUUCUCCCAGUGAGCUGCUGGCUCUUCAGUAAGCAUAGUAGGCCUUAUUAUGGAGAAUAAAAAUGGGUCAAGCUCGGUAGUCCCCCCGGGCACCCUGGGGCCAUACCUCCAGAUUGGAACGAAGGUUUUGGAUAGCCUUGGGAGGGGGCAAUGAGAAGGAUGGGAUGAAUGGGAGGGAAAGAUCACAUUUACAAUGGAACAGGAGAAAUCGAGACUCAUCAGACCAGGCAACAUUCUUCCAGUCUUCAACUGUCCAAUUUUGAACACGUCACUGUUCUGCUUUAACUACUGCAGAACACUUCCACUACUGUUGAAGAUCCGGCAAAAGAGGGAAACGCUCAUUAGAAAAUACUAACUAGUUCCUGGCACCACACAGCUGCUGCCCCAUGUCCUCUCAUUAAAGGCUGUAUACCUUCCAGACUAAUGGCUGAUUACGGGCCCAUAACGGUCCUUCGUCCCUCCUUUGGGGUCGGAAUGGGACUCAUAAGCCCAAUUGUUGUGGAUUCAUUCAUGUUUUAGGGUAAUUUAUCAUGUUAAUUGUGUUUAUUAUGUACGGUUACAUGCAAGAUUCUUGGGUUCACACUAUAGACGGUACUCUCCAUAUCAGUAUAUGUGUAAUUUACAUAUUAUAUACUGCACCAGCAUUGGGUCAACGACCCGGGGGAGAACCCCCUGGCAUGUGGCUCAGCUGUUGUUUUAGAAAACACUUUGACUGCCAUGCCUUGAUGAGGUACACUAGCCCCCAAUCAGGGAGGAUAAAAGGGCCCUAGAAAAGCAGCUAUGGGCAACAGAGGAAGAAGGGAAGAGUAUGAUGCUGUACCCUGCUUUUGUUUUAUUCCUCUGUACCAUUUCUUUUAAUAAAACCCCCUUCAGAGCACCAGAACACAGAGGCACUGUGUCCAUUCCCUGUCUCUCCAAUACACACACAAACAAAUAAUAACACUUACUGUGUAAUAAAGGACAUAAAAGGGAUCAGUGUACUCAAUAUGUGUACCAGUUUUACUAGAUUGCUUUAUGGCCAAAAUGCUGAUGCCUUGCUGCUCUGCUCUUUAACUUUCCACCUAGUGCUCCUUCUCUCUAUAAAGUGUGGCUCACUAAAUAAAGGCUGGAGACAGUUUUACAAGGAGAGAGGAGAAGAGGAUGUGAAUGGCACACAGGGACGC